rnacentral:rRNA from 8 species
CAACUCUCAACAACGGAUAUCUUGGCUCUUGCAACGAUGAAGAACGCAGCGAAAUGCGAUACGUAGUGUGAAUUGCAGAAAACCGUGAACCAUCGAAUCUUUGAACGCAUAUUGCGCCCGCGGCUUCGGCCAAGGGCAUGUCUGCCUCAGCGUCGGGUU